GCUAAUACCGGAUAGACUUGUUCGGCCAAAAGAACAAUGAAAUGCUCCGGCGCUCUGUGAGGAGCCUGCGGCCCAUCAGCUAUUUGGCGGAGUAACGGGCCACCAAGGUAAAGACGGGUAGGGGGUGUAAGAGCAUAGCCCCGCACAAAGGGACUGGAACACGGACCAUACUCCUACGGGAAGCAGCAGCAGGGAAUAUUGCGCAAUGGACGGAAGAUCUGAUGCAGCGACGCCGUGGUGCAUAAGAAGAGCCUCGGGUUGUAAAAUCCUUUACAUGGGGAAGAGGAAGAACGGGUAGCCCUGGAACAAGUGUCGGCUACCUACGUGCCAGGAGACGCGGUACGGCGUAUGACACAAGCGUAAUCCGGAUUUACAUGGGCGUAAAGCGUCUGCAGGCGGACAUGUAAGUUGGGCGUGAAAGCUCCGGACCCAACCCGGAGAGGUCGUUCUAUACUGCGUGUUUAGAGGGUCUCUAAGGGGAGUGGAAUUUCCGGAGUAGCGGUAAUAUGCGCAGAGAUCGGAAAGAACACCAAUGUCGAAGGCAGCUCCCUGGGCUAACCCUGACGAUAACGAGGCGAAAGCUCGGGGGAGCGUACAGGAGUAGAGACCCUGCUAGUCCUAGCCCUAAACGAUGGAUGCUGGUAUGUGGGGCCAUAGCGCUCCGUCGUCGAAGCGUACGCGUUAAGCAUCCCGCCUGGGGUACUACGGCCGCAAGGUUAAAGCUCUAACGAAUGUGACGGGACACCCGCACAAGCAGCGGAGCGUAUGGUAUAAUUCGAUGCUACCCGUAGCACGUUACCUGGAUUCGACAUCUAGGUGGUAGUGAAACGAUAGCGGAGCGACCAUUCGGGGAGCCUAAACAGGUGCUGCAUGGCUGUCGUCAGCUCGUUCCGUGAGGUCUCGGGUUAAGUCCCGUAACGAGCGCAACCAUUGCCCUCCGUUAUACGUGUCAGAGGGGACUACUGUCGGUAAGCCGGAGG
rnacentral:rRNA from 1 species